CGUUUCUGCGGCGGUUUGUUUAUUUGGCUGCUGGCGUCCCUGAAAUAUCUGAGGAGGAAGAAAAUGGCGUCUGGAACUAGCAGCUGAUCGAUAAUGGAUAUCUUGGGUGAUCGACAAUGAAGCUGAGGACCGCUUCAAGCUGCCUGGGGGAACCGCCUGACCCAUCAAAGAGCUGACAGGCUCCGGUAGUGCUGGUUGUCGGGUCGAGGUUCUGGCUCAGCUGAAUCGGACUCUGCGCAUGGAGCCCACGGUGCUGUUCUGGCUGCCCCAG